rnacentral:misc_RNA from 1 species
GGAAAAUAGAGGAAAAUGUGGCUCUGUGCAAGAGCUGACACUACUGGUAAUGGUUAAAUCUCUUCACUAGCAAGAACAUUGCCUUGGCUUCUUGAUUGGAACUACCANUACCAAUCAAGCAAACUUUAUUAACUUGCUAAAUCCUCAAUAUUUGUGUUCAUUGCACAAGUAAUCACAAAUACAAUGUUUAUAAUGCCAUGAUAAGGACCACUCC